rnacentral:rRNA from 1 species
UGGGGAAUCUUGGACAAUGGGCGAAAGCCUGAUCCAGCCAUGCCGCGUGAGUGAAGAAGGCCCUAGGGUUGUAAAGCUCUUUCGGCGGGGACGAUAAUGACGGUACCCGCAGAAGAAGCCCCGGGCUAACUCCGUGCCAGCAGCCGCGGUAAUACGGAGGGGGCUAGCGUUGUUCGGAAUUACUGGGCGUAAAGCGCACGUAGGCGGGUCGUUAAGUCGGGGGUGAAAUCCUGGGGCUCAACCUCAGAACUGCCUUCGAUACUGACGAUCUUGAGUACGGGAGAGGUGAGUGGAAUUCCCAGUGUAGAGGUGAAAUUCGUAGAUAUUGGGAAGAACACCAGUGGCGAAGGCGGCUCACUGGCCCGUAACUGACGCUGAGGUGCGAAAGCGUGGGGAGCAAAC